rnacentral:misc_RNA from 1 species
UGGAAGUAAAAGUCGUAACAAGGUCUCCGUAGGUGAACCUGCGGAGGGAUCAUUACACAAUAUGAAAGCGGGCUGGCAUCCUUCGGGGUUACAGCCUUGCUGAAUUAUUCACCCGUGUCUUUUGCGUACUUCUUGUUUCCUUGGUGGGUUCGCCCACCAUAGGACAAACCAUAAACCUUUUGUAAUUGCAAUCAGCGUCAGAAAAAAAAAAUUAAUAAUUACAACUUUUAACAACGGAUCUCUUGGUUCUGGCAUCGAUGAAGAACGCAGCGAAAUGCGAUAAGUAGUGUGAAUUGCAGAAUUCAGUGAAUCAUCGAAUCUUUGAACGCACAUUGCGCCCUUUGGUAUUCCAAAGGGCAUGCCUGUUCGAGCGUCAUUUGUACCCUCAAGCUUUGCUUGGUGUUGGGCGUCUUGUCUCCAGUUCGCUGGAGACUCGCCUUAAAGUAAUUGGCAGCCGGCCUACUGGUUUCGGAGCGCAGCACAAGUCGCGCUCUCUUCCAGCCAAGGUCAGCAUCCACAAAGCCUUUUUUCAACUUUUGACCUCGGAUCAGGUAGGGAUACCCGCUGAACCUAAGCAUAUCAAUAAGCGGAGGA